GAAAGGUGUGUGAGGGGAAGGGAAGGAGGGGUGUGAGGGGAAGGGAACGUAACAAUAGAGGCUGUAAAUCCAUGUAUUUUGAUACUUCCUCUGAAUUUAUUUCCCUCCCUAUUCUUGUAUCAUUGGUAAAUUUCCUAAUGAUGCUGUUCAUUCAUAAGUCUAAGUCGAUUUUAUACAUAUAAUAAACAAUAGAAGCCUCAGUGGUACCUUGUGGUACUUCACUUCCAAUUUUUCCCCACUCCUAUCAAGGCUCCAAAUCCUCGGUUAUCUUAACAAUUUGUUUCCUGUAUGGCAAGUAUGCCUUCAUCCAGUUUGAGAGGUCCUCUCUCAUACCCUGUGGAUCUACUUGCCUUGUAAAUCUUUCAAGCUGAAGUGUUUAAAGCUUCGCUAAAAUCUGGGUUUAUAAUAUUGCAUCCGUAAUCCAUUCUUCACGAAAUGACCUUUGUCAGGGAUAUCAAAUGUUUAUAUUGAAUUCUUACGUAAAUACCAACUCCUCUAUGGGUUACAACACACUGGAACCUAUAAAGAUACUGUUUCAUUGUUCUCAUACCAGUCUCCAGCUGCCUACAUAACACUCCCGCAUGACAUAUUACACAAUAAUAAUCAUUAUCACUAUUUAUAAAAACUUCAAAUAUUAGUUUCAACCUCACAUCUUCAAGUUCAAGUAAGUUUAUUGAGACAAUAAGAUACAUCUCAAAAAGGAUAGAGUAGCUUAGGCUAUUUCUAUCCUCCUCUUCACAUCUUUAUGAACAUGAUAAUGUUGAUAUCCUUGCUAAGCUUGCAGCAAAUAAAAAUAAUGCUGAACAUAAUCUUGGGCUAUCAAAUAGAACCCUAAAACGUGUCAAUAGACGAGAACUAUUAGAUAAAUUUGAGGAAAGCAAAAGAGUGCACACAGGAACUAGCAGAUCCAUUGAUUAUCACUGCAAUGUGUCAAACAAAACAUAGCAUUUGUAUGGGGCAAGUAACAAAGUAGGAUGACAGAUGUCACAUCUCGAAUACUACUUUGCUACAAUUAAGUGUAUUUGACAGUUGAGCUUGUAUGGGAAUCUAGAUGAAGAUGGCAUACUUUAAAAAUAUGUAAUAAAUUUAAACCGGUUCGGUUUCAAACUUUUUUGACUAGUUGUAUAUGAAAUUGGCUUCACCUGGUCCAAGUCUCAGCAUCGUAGCAUAAGUAGGGAGAAAAAUAUUGAAUUAUGUGUCAAAAAAUUUCCAAAAUGUUCAAAAAUUAACAUCAAACACAAGUGUCAACUGAAAUCAUGUCUAUGACUCUAAGCUAUCACAAUAUCAUAUAAUAAACUAUUUUAAUAAUUAGUUUUAUCCCUCAAAAAUAGCUAAACAAAAAUUAUUACAAUUUGUUUUAUUUUUUCUUUAAUUUUUUCUCAUUUUUUAUCGGCCGAUUUGCAUGAAACUUAUGCAUCUUACUGAACGUAUGCCUGUAUGUAAGGGUACUAAUUUUGGAGUAAAUUGGUUGAUGUCAACCUCAGCCACAGGUGGCAGAAUCUUUGACUUCAUUUAUAGUCAAGUAACAUAAAAGUGCUUCUACUC